rnacentral:rRNA from 1 species
GCCAGACUCCUACGGGAGGCAGCAGUGGGGGAUAUUGCACAAUGGGGGAAACCCUGAUGCAGCGACGCCGCGUGAGUGAAGAAGUACUUCGUUACGUAAAGCUCUAUCAGCAGGGAAGAAAAUGACGGUACCUGACUAAGAAGCCCCGGCUAACUACGUGCCAGCAGCCGCGGUAAUACGUAGGGGGCAAGCGUUACUCGGAAUCACUGGGCGUAAAGAGCGCGUAGGCGGGAUAGCAAGUCAGAUGUGAAAUCCUAUGGCUUAACCAUAGAACUGCAUUUGAAACUGUUAUUCUAGAGUAUGGGAGAGGUAGGUGGAAUUCUUGGUGUAGGGGUGAAAUGCGUAGAUAUUAGGAGGAACACCAGUGGCGAAGGCGGCUUACUGGACUGUAACUGACGUUGAGGCUCGAAAGCGUGGGGAGCAAACAGGAUUAGAUACCCCGGUAUG